UGAAUACGAGACGCUAAGGCGUCGAAGUAGUGUAUGUCAUACUUCCAAGAAAAGCUUGCACUGUCAUAGAUAAAAAACGCCUGUACCAUAACCGACACAGGUGGGUAGGUAGAGUAUACUAAGGGGCGCGAGAUAACUCUCUCUAAGGAACUCGGCAAAAUAACUCCGUAACUUCGGGAGAAGGAGUGCCUUAUUCGUAAGGUUGCAAUAACAAGAUCCAAGCAACUGUUUAUCAAAAACACAGGUCUCCGCUAAGUCGUAAGACGAUGUAUGGGGGCUGACGCCUGCCCAGUGCCAGAAGGUUAAAGAAGUUGGUUAGCAAUUGCGAAGCUGAUAACUGAAGCCCUGGUGAACGGCGGCCGUAACUAUAACGGUCCUAAGGUAGCGAAAUUCCUUGUCGGGUAAGUUCCGACCCGCACGAAAGGCGUAAUGAUUUGGAUACUGUCUCGGAGAGGGGCUCGGUGAAAUAGACUUGUCUGUGAAGAUGCGGACUACCUGCACCAGGACAGAAAGACCCUAUGAAGCUUUACUGUAACUUGAAAUUGAAAUUGGACUUUAUUCGCGCAGUAUAGGUGGGAGGCGUUGAUUAUAAUCUUGUGGGAUUAUUGGAGCCAUCAGUGAGAUACCACUCUUGUAAUGUUAGAUUUCUAACUUUGAAUCAUUAUCUGGUCAAAGAACAGUUUCAGGCGGGCAGUUUGACUGGGGCGGUCGCCUCCUAAACGGUAACGGAGGCGUACAAAGGUUUCCUCUGAACGGUUAGAAAUCGUAUCUAGAGUGUAAAGGCAUAAGGAAGCUUGACUGUGAGACCUACAAGUCGAGCAGGGACGAAAGUCGGUCUUAGUGAUCUGACGGUACUGAGUGGAAAGGCCGUCACUCAACGGAUAAAAGUUACUCUAAGGAUAACAGGCUGAUCUCCCCCAAGAGUUCACAUCGACGGGGAGGUUUGGCACCUUGAUGUCGGCUCAUCGCAUCCUGGGGCGGUAGUACGUCCCAAGGGUUGGGCUGUUCGCCCAUGAAAGCGGUACGCGAGCUGGGUUCAGAACGUCGUGAGACAGUUCGGUCCAUAUCCGGUGUAGGCGUUAGAAUAUUGAGAGGAGCCUUCUUUAGUACGAGAGGACCGAGAAGGACAUACCUCUGGUGUACCAGUUAUCGUGCCAACGGUAAACGCUGGGUAGCUAUGUAUGGAGUGGAUAACCGCUGAAAGCAUCUAAGUGGGAAGCCCACCUCAAGAUAAGUAUUCUCAC
rnacentral:rRNA from 1 species